rnacentral:rRNA from 1 species
UACGGAGGGGGCUAGCGUUGUUCGGAAUUACUGGGCGUAAAGCGCGCGUAGGCGGCUUUGUAAGUUAGAGGUGAAAGCCCGGAGCUCAACUCCGGAAUUGCCUUUAAGACUGCAUCGCUAGAAUCAUGGAGAGGUGAGUGGAAUUCCGAGUGUAGAGGUGAAAUUCGCAGAUAUCGGGAGGAACACCAAUGGCGAAGGCAGCUCGCUGGGACGGUACUGACGCUGAGACGCGAAAGCGUGGGGAGCAAACAGG